CUCAAUCCGAUUCAGUGUGCGUUUGCCGUGCUUCGAACAGGACGGACGCAGAUUUCUGCAGUGUAAAAUGCUGAUCUAUGUCUUCGGUAUACAGGGGGACGAAUAAAAAACGGAGCGGACGUGGCUGCGUCGCCUUAUGCGUCGAGAUCUGCCGACGUCAGGUAUAACAUUUUCUUAUUUUAUCUGCGCUCGGUGUCGCAACAGGGCGAAAGCAGAUUCGUGACGACAAGCGACGUCUGCUCUUACGCUCGAAUCGUCAUCGUCGCUCUCUCGUUUAACAAGACAAACUGCAAGCGAUCUCUCGGACAAGAGUCACGGGGAGCAAAUGGCACCAAAUGGGAAACGAUUUAACAAAUUAUGGGGACGAUUCGCCCGGGGACAAUGGAACUUCACGGUUCGCUUCUGAAGAUAAGCCUCCGGGGACUGAUUCACGGUCCAAUAUCUCCGGGACUUCUUUGAACUAUUACGCGUUGCUCUUGAUAAAGGAUCUGCCCAAGUAUUCGCGGGUUCUGCGACGCAUCUACCAACAUCGACACACAAUAUCCAACAGAAGUUGGUCGGUGUUUCCCGGACCGUUUGUCAUAAGUCUACAAAAAAAAAUCUAAUCUGCUGUACAGCUGCGUUAGAUCGAGAUCUCGAUCUUCGUCGACGUAUGUGUUCUAUAAAAAUGUAAGAUUUCGGAGGAUGGAAUCGAUCGGCGCGGACGAGGAUCGAUGGCUGUGCUGCCUCCGCAGAUGUUUAGAGAAGAAUUGGAACGGAAAACAUCCGCGAGAGCAGAACAACGAAAGUCCGAAGAACGGUGCUCUCUUUUCGACGAAUUGGAGGAGUGUUUCGAUCGGAGAAGAGCAUGUUUUCGAAGCGAAAGGAAGUCUAUAAUAAGCGCAGGAAAGCUGCCGACUAAUUUCCAAGCGGGUAAUUACGCAGGAGAGCAGCACGAGCCGCGAGCGCUUCUUCAAAUAGAAAUCGCGAAGACCUUUUCGAUGGAACUCGACCUGACGUCGAUCGUCCGCUUCGUUAUUUGUGUAGUUUGGAUCAUGGCCAGACGCAGGUACCAGCGAGCUAUGUUCCUAGACCGGAAAGUUCAAGUUCAAUAAACCCGCAUCCUUCCCAAUUUACUGUCGAAUCAAUUAAGAAUAGGCUCGCGCGGAUCUUGCAUUCUCUAAUGGGGUGUUAUGAUCGUUACCAGGUGGAUUUGAUGGAGAAGCUAUUGGAUCUCUUCUUCCUGCUUCUGCCGAACGUCCAGAAUUUGUGUUUCGAGUCUUUAGACUUUGCAUCCUGGUACGUGUGCGGCUGUAUAUUGUUCAGCUCGUCGUUGAACGGGUUUAAGUGUUCGGGAUAGUCGUAGAUGGAAACUUUGGGACGUCUGGGCUGCGACAUGAUUCGCUUUUCCUUCCGAAGAGUUCUCUCUCUCUCGAGGAUUUUAUCGCGGGAACCGCGUGCAAUUGGUCGCGACUCCUCGUCAACGGAGUUCACCGAUCUCUCGUCAUGAUCCUCUUGGCGGCUGCGACGAGCUGAAAAUAGAAAAACGAUCUCGGUCAUUCUUGUUAUUCAGAAACAAACAGUCCGAGUAAAAAGCUCCGACAAGAACAACGGUCACGCGGGCGCUUCGUGUUCAAACGUUUUCCUCCGUUGUCGCGUCUUGAGAGGCGCCUAACUUAACGAGCCGCAUUGUAAUUAUAAGCGCGCGGAGUGUGAGUAAUUUAAUCUAGUAACCGAGCCGAAAGCAUCGAGCAUCAGGAAUAAAGUCCAGACUUAUUUUUAACGUGUUACGUGGACAUGAUUCCGUGGAAGUCGACGCACGCAGGAAGUGGAAUCCGGCUUGCGUACGACGUUAUGACAAACAAUAGAUUCUUCAAUCGCAUUUCCAUUUUUUUCACAGAUCAGUCUUGAGCACUGCGAAGACCACUUCGCAGGAUCGGAAAGUGUGGUCGUCGGUAGCGUUUAUCUUGCUCGGUUUAUUGCUACGUGACGCGAAUGUGCUACCGUCAUCACAAAACCACAUGUGAAUUGCUCGACAGUAUUCCGAAUCAUGUUCGAGGCUAGCAAAAGUGUUUUUUACAAUUUGUCAGAAGCGAUUCUGAAGGGAUUCAAACAUUCUUGUCGCAGUUGUCACUGUGUUAGCUCUGAUUAACGCGUCAAGCGACGCGUGGGUCGACUUUCUACCCAGUUUUAACACCAACGAACAUUGCACGUGUAUGUCCCUUUAAGUUUUGGUUGGCACCUUCGAUUAUGCUAAUAUUUCUUAUUGAAUACAUUAACGAUUGAUCCGCAGAAUGCUCUCAUAGAUGUCAAAUACAAUACUGUAAAGACGUUAGAAGAAUUUAACGAUAUUGUUACGUUAUUCUCAGCUUAGUAGAAUUAUUAAAAGAAGAAAGAUCCGCGGUCUAAGUAUAAUUGUUCUGUAGUUUUCCCGCCUGUUAACCAUUUCCGUGUAACUUUUAUAGCCUCUCGACAAGUUCGGUGAUAUUACAGGACAUCAAAGAUAGCAAAUGCAGCAGUGACACGGCCCAUUCGUGGCCCACGCACGAAUGGAAAGUCGGGUGAAUCAAGCUCGACGCUGAAUGCAUUAGCAGAGCAAUGGGCAAGCACCUCCAUCGCGAAACUUCAUUUCCUGUCGAUCGGUUCACAGGCGGAAGGACUUACAUCGAGGAACGAAGAUGGAUCAGAAGGAAGCGAUUCGGAGAGCUGCGAGUAUAAUUGCUGGCCGUGCAUGCUGCGGCCGCCUCGUUAUGCCAAUUGUCGGUUCGAAUCGACGGACCCGCGACUUCUCCAAUUGGCCAUCAUUGCGGACCAAUAUGGUUGCGAAACGAGGAUGAAGCCUCGCGGGUUAAUCCGUUAAACUCGGAAACAUAUGUGACCCCCCAGCCGACCCGAUCGAAAUCAAAUAUGAAAACAAAUUGAACGUUCGAUCUCUGUCAAUUGCGUUUCUGUCCGGCUCGACCAACGAAACCGAAAGGAAUUGAAGUCUAAGGCUUGGAACGAUCGCCUCGUGAAACUAAUUAACCGUGCGCCUCAAGAUUUCUCGCACGCCACGCGAAACACGAUGCCGUCGCCGUUAACCCAGUUAACGAGCCAUCUAAUACUAGAUUACGAAAAUAGGGAACACGGUGCACAUCGUUUACGCAACACGCUGUUCGAUGAUGCGUCUUGAUUACUGUACACACGUAAUUCCAAGUCGGAUCGCACGCUUUUCCUAUUCGCAUUGACACACGCCUCCCUCCUGCAGCUCGAUCGCGUGUCAUUCUGAUCGAUCCGAUCGCGGAUCUUCGCGCAUCUGCAACGCGAUCGAGCCUGCGAAAUGCCAACAUCGAGACCUUUAGCAACUUAUGGCUUUGUCUCUCUUUUGGACCAGGUUUAGGUGGACCAGCGGGACACGAUUCACGCGCGUUAAUGCAACGACCGUUUGAAAAUUCGUAUAAUGCACUUCUAAGGUUCACUGGACCAGCAGAUGGAGAUCUAAUUUACAAAUAGACUGUGGACAUUAUAAUAAAAAGUUUGACGAAAUGUCAUGCAAGAUUCUCUUAUAGCGGACAUAUUUCUGUGCGUGAAACAUAUUUCUCUUUUUCAGUCUAUAAACGUGUCCAUUUUCCGAAACAUCUGCAGUCUAUUUACGGCUUUAGUGAGUCUAGCAUGCAGUUGCGGCAGUAACUGCAUACACAACACGGCUGCAGACGCGCAGCAUAAACAAUCAUAGCGACAUUGAACGUUCACGAAACCUUGACCAACGAUAAUUGCACGUUAGUUUAAGCACGAAGCGCUGAAUUUCUCUUCCGCCUGAGAGUUUCGUUUGUAUAAAACGGUACUUUCUAAAAAUCCUCGGUUCAUCCAAUUGCGAGCCGUUAAUCGGCGUUCUCAGUUUAGAUUUCCGAACUGUUGCACGCCCGCAGGAAGAAAUGCUUGGGAAUAAUUAGCCGUGCCACAUGUUCGCCAAGCGGGAACGGGAAUGUUACGCGAAUUAAUGUCGUACCGGUGGCGAUGUUCGUCCACGAAGAUGAUCGCGGCGAGAAUUUCAGCGAUGAACAGAAGGUAACCGACGUAUCUCGCGGUUACGAAGAACGCGACUAACGAACGCAAUUAGCUCAAUUAGCUCAUUGCACUCGCAGUUUGCUUCUGAUCCGAAGCUCGUCGAUGGACGAGCGGCCGUACACAAUCCUCGGCAAUUACAGUCUGCGAUACGAAAGAUUACAACGAAGCUUUUAGUAGCAACAGUCCAAUAAUUCUUCGUGCUAGCAAAGUCGACUGAAAAUAAUCUUGUCUAUUGGCUAUCUUUGGUCGAUUCGAGCAUAGUGGACACAGGCUGAUCAUCCGGGAAAUCAAUAUUGAAUUUCUCUGUAAGCGUGAUAAGAUGGCCUCAUUGUUUACUGUUUUUCGUACGCACUAAUUACCGAGACGGUCGGCACACGUCAUUAAUCAGAGAAACCGUUUCACGCGGUCAAGUGUUCGCGGAAGCAUUUCAGGGCUGAUGGCGUUUGAAUUUCUGAGCUCGCGAUCAUCGAAAAGUAGUAAAGAAUCGCUUGCAAAACUAACAGUCCUAUUAUACGAUUAUGCUAAUGUUUCUUGUAAUCGCUCUCGAGUGUGUUGAUAAUCCUCCACAGCAUCCGCAUGUGGUUGCUCAUUUAAAAACGAGAGACGCGCGAUGAACGAGAAAUCGAUGAAUAAUAAUUUAACACUCAACAGCAUUUGAAUUCGCGACCUAACAUCAGGAACUUUGAUGGCAUUACUAUGGUUACGUAAAUAAAAUUAAAGUAAAUUAUAAAUGGAACAACCUUUCAUCACCAAUUUAGGAUAACCAAUAAAUCGUGGUCACCCAUGUUGGUUACCUUCAAGCUGGAUCAAUUCUCGGAUCGAUUUCCUUUCGAGAAACCAAUCCCCAUAGCGUUCACCAAGUUUUCACCUUCUUGACAGAUACGAAAAGAUCGCGUACGUGUGUCGAUUCCACGCAGAACAAUACAUUUAGCUAGCCGUAUUAAUGGCCGUAUCUGACAGCUUAAUUCGACGUCGUUUCAAGAGUUCCCCUGUUUAACCGUUGGAAGGACAAUUCAGACAAAGUCAAGUUAAUUUGCAGCUAAUUUCCAUCGAACCCUUAACUCGUAACAGGCUUUCGCCACCUGAUACUCGCGCGUUCCUGAAUCAAACUGGAGGAAUGCUUCUAUUUCCGUGAAACGACGCGACGCUCGAAAUUCGGUCAGAAGGUUCUAGUUCCUUCAAGCAUGGGAUCCUCGCACGAAAACCCACGUACACGACCUCGGAGACAUUGACAAAAGGCUGUUCCAGUUGCGCAACAUGCAAAACUGAAAUUCUGGCCGAUAAAUCUUAUCCGAGCGGUUAGAGUUCGUCGGUUCUGCCGGUCGGCCAUUAUAAUCGCAUUAUGUCGUGAUCUGAUUAUCGCGGCCGCUUCGAUUACACUAAUUUUAUACGGUUCAAGUGCUCACUCGCUGCGGCAAGGACACAACUCCCUGUUCACCGACUUUUACGUCACGAACUUCUUCUAUUGUUUUUCAUCUAUUCAAACUAGUUUCGUAGUUCAAUGAAAUACUUUUCUGUUGUGUUCUCGUGGCAGCAUGUGGGCGAUUUAUUCGCAGAGGCGCUUCACAAUUUCGGGCACCGAGAUUUAGCCUGCAAUCCCGCCCGAUCGACCGAGAUCCUAAAAAUACUUUCGUAAAUCCCGUAGUAUCCGUGUUUCUGGGUGAAAGCCAGAGAUCUGUCGCAUGUUCGCCGCCGGAUAGUCUCUGUUGUCAACAGCCGGUCUUUUUCUUUCGGUUUCCCGGUCUUCUCGACUUUAGACUUUGUCCUCGCGCUCAUCGAUCUCCAUCACAGCGAAUAGUCUUUCGUAAAAGAGUAUAAUACGCGUUCGCUGUGCUCCUAAAACAAGAAAGAAAAACUCAAGAUCGGCGCAUCGACGGUCGUAAAAAAAAAAGAGAUAUGUAUUCCAAUGCGUCGUAAGCCGAUUGCAACGAGAUGCAUCCCGGAGUGUUGUAAUCGCCACAGAUAGUCGCGAAACUCUCCUCUACCAUUCUCUUGUGAGCAGGUCUCAUUUAGUGUCUUUAGUAUUUCCAUGCUUCGCCAGUUUCCCAGGUGAUGUGUAUUGCUUCUAAAAAGAGCGAAGCAUGCUAACCAGCGUACAAAGACGGGAUUUCUUCCUAGGAAACGCGUGUCCUUUUCACACGCGUUGCGUCACCGAGACCAAUAAGACCGUCAGCUGUUACCGACUACAUUUGCUGUCAGCGUAGAUUGGUCCUCGUUACUUUGCCAUCGAGGUGGAUCACCUGUGAUUACAACGUGGAUGUAACGGGGUGCCUUCUCCCCUCCGUUUCGCGACUGUUCAAACGCUGUAUCGACGUUGACUUCGCGAUUCUUUUGACGGUUGGUUCACGGUCCCUUCGUGCUGGCCGGUAAUUAUGGAAAUAUCGAUUGGAACUUCCGUGCAUUGCCUGGAAGUCGCAAUCGUAAAAUCUACGAACGAACACACUUAUCCUUAAGCGUGUUCCUUGCGGCGCGGCGGUGGCUAUUUCGCGGCAACUCGUGCCACGAGCCCGAGUCACGGAUGCCAGAGAUUCUCAACUAUGAAAACUGGUUUCUUUAUUAUUUGUUGUGUGACGUUGCAUCGAGCGUCACGUGCGCGACCCCCCCUCGGCCCCGCUUCGGGUAAAACGAUAUCUAAAACGAUUGCAACAUCCGUAUCUGGCUUCCUUCAACAGGUGAUCGAUUCCCGCCGAGAAACGGCCGACGUGAUUUUAAAACUCCCUCUCGGCGCUUUCGUUCUUCGACGAGGAAAUGAGCACCACCGUCACACGUAAAAAUAGAAACUUAACAGUUCUGUGUUCGGCGGGGGUCCCGAUCGAAUGCCCAAACAAUUCGCCUCGAAAAUAUACUCCAUCCCCGCAAAGUGGCGCCAUAUAUUCUCGUCUUGAAAAGAAAAAACGAGCUCGCCGAGUCCGAGAUAGUUCUUAUCGACAAAAAGUCUACAAGAAAAUAAAAAAGAAUGAGUGUCGCGCCGAUCGUCCGGUAAAUUUCCUUAGAAAUUGAUAAGAGGAAGUUGCACUCCCACUUAAACCUGCCUGGGCAUUCGCGAUGGUUAAAUAUUCCUAUCUUCUUAUAUAACUAAUUCACGACUAAUCGUUUAAUGGACAAACGUAGUCAAAGUGUUGGUAAUCUGAGUAAAAGUGGUGGACGUGUGUUGCUUUGUAAGAAUGAUCAGACUGAAUUUACUUAGAUUUUUCGCUAUCUUUCCGACGGAAGAGUCUUUAGAAUAUCAACAAUUUUCAAAUAGAAAAUGUGAAAGCGAUUGUACCGACCGACACGUUAGGUUUAGUGAACAGUGACUAGGUUGCUAACAGUGCAUCUAGGUUUUUCUUAAUGCUUACGCGUUUAUUACAGAAGAUAAUGUGUCUAACCAGCGACCGCCAUCCUCUUUUCGUGCGUGCUCUUUCGGUAACUGCGCGCAAUCGCGAAAAACGUGGAGGGCUCUGAUAAAAAUAGCUGAUGGUUUCGAUAAGGAGACGAUACCGUGGUGGGUGAAAAGGUCGUAGGAUCAAGAAGAGCCCGAAACGUGUCCGGUUAAAUUAUACGCGUCAUGUAGGUCACUGAAUCGCAACUCGAAAUUAUCGUGUAUGAGUUACGCUAUGCCGUACCGGUCACGUAUCGCUCGACCACGAAAAAGAAACCGCUCUUCGUCUUCGUUUGUUCGGCUCCGAUUGCCUCGAGUACCCUCCCAAUUUACUACUCCGCGUAAGUACCCGGAGUCCUUAGCCUUUUCAUUCAUCGUUUGCCCGGUUAUUCAUUGAUCCUGAAAGUUUUCCCGAGUUCAUGUUGCUUCCGGUUCUCUGCCGACUUGCUUCCGCUGUCUAAUAAAGUGUAAUGCGUAGCAUGAAAUCAUCUACACCGUUAUCCACGAACAUCAAACGCUUCCACGAGCAAAUCGCGACCGGCAAUCCGUUUAACCGCUGCGCAAAAAGUACGGGCCAUUUUCAAAUUUUCUCUCUGCCAAAAUGGUUUCGGAACAGCUUAGGAGUUUAUCUUCACAACGACGGAAUCGUUUUAUGCACACACACGCGUACGCUGUAACACAAACAUUUACAUCAAACAUCAUGGAAUCACACCUCUGAUAAAAAUAAUUUUCAGUGAUAAAAAAUAUCUCUACUCAUCCUUGUUUGUUUCCUCUUGAUCCUAUUUGAGCUAGUAUUUUACAACAGCACACCGAAUCUCGCACAUUCAUCCUUCCAUGUAAUUCAAUUAUUAUUAUUAUUAUUAUAUUGAAUACAAUAAUCAAUACCAUACAUUCGUCGUUAUAUAUGAAUUAACAAUAUUAUUGUUACCGUCAUAUUUAUCGAAACAAGCUACGCGCCUCGUUUUCGAAAGAAGCGGGAGAGCAACUCGAAAAGCGCGCGCCAUUUUUCAAAGAAGAGCGAAAAUUUGAAAAGCGCGCGCUUCCCUUUGCAAUUACAAAAUCCAUUCCGCGACAAUGAAAUUCUUACAGUUGUUUCGCUCUUGAUCAAUUGCCGUAGCAUACAUUCUUGUCUUUACACUAUCCAUACAUAGAAUCGCACAACUUCGCGGAACGUGACAGCGACAGCGUUUGAUACGAAACAAAUUGAGAAAUUCAUGGUGCAAUGUGGAAAGCAUCGUUCCGGGCGCAUCGUUAUUGUGCUCGAAAUUCGUUUGAUCGAUCACUGGCCGGUCGAUCAAACUGCGGAACUUCGGCAUGUAUAAUCCUGCGACACGCUUCUAGGCUAUUUUUGUUACUACGCGAAUCGUAUAACGAUUUUCGGUUCGCGUGCAUUUUCAUCUAUCGCCACACCGCGGAUCUCUAUACACACUUAACUAUUAACACGGGUUGAUUUUCGUGAACGAAAAUUGCCCGACGAUAUAGUCUCCGUACCAAGGAUAUCAUUAUGUUAAAAAUAAGUAGUAAUGCUUCGUCAAUAUUUCAUAAAAACUGUAUAUUGCUUCAGUCCCCGCAAUUCGGCCGUUCGAUUAUCGAUACCGGUCAGUCGGAGCCUCUCCGUUUAUCGUAACAAUGAAACCGUUAACUUUCUUGACAAGUCGGUCGGAUUAUCUAGACAAUAAUAUACCGAAGAUAUUGUCAAUGUUGUAAGACUUACGUAAGUGCUCCUAGAUGACAAGUGGCUCAGGUAUGCACGACAGGUGAGGGGACUCGGUCGGUGUUAAUUGUAGAAUCCGGCGAGGUUAUCUCGGGAGGCACAGGUUGUCGUUUACACUGAGAACGAUACACCGUUUUAAAUAAUCGAAAAGAGAGAACACCAUCCACACAAGAGAUUCGGCGUGUGACAAUUGUGACAUGACAAACAAAACGCGGUCCCGCGACGACGUUCGCCGGUCGACUGCACCGAGUCCUGUACGCUGAGCACAAUCGGACGUCUUCGCCGAACUUCGGUGAACUCCGUAACUAUUCGAACGCCGCGGCAAACUUCGCGCCUGCCGCGCAACCCGCUUUACGCCUGCGCAAUUGGUCAACAUUUCCACGCGACGGAAUCUUUAAAUUCGUAGAGCAGUCGAUUUUUAAAUCAUUGUCAUUUUGUAAACAAUAGUCGUACAAUAAUAAACCUGGUUUCAUUUCAAAGCUUGAA